GACGAACGCUGGCGGCGUGCUUAACACAUGCAAGUCGAACGGAAAGGCCCUGCUUUUGUGGGGUGCUCGAGUGGCGAACGGGUGAGUAACACGUGAGUAACCUGCCCUUGACUUUGGGAUAACUUCAGGAAACUGGGGCUAAUACCGGAUAGGAGCUCCUGCUGCAUGGUGGGGGUUGGAAAGUUUCGGCGGUUGGGGAUGGACUCGCGGCUUAUCAGCUUGUUGGUGGGGUAGUGGCUUACCAAGGCUUUGCCGCGUAGCCGGCCUGAGAGGGUGACCGGCCACAUUGGGACUGAGAUACGGCCCAGACUCCUACGGGAGGCAGCAGUGGGGAAUAUUGCACAAUGGGCGGAAGCCUGAUGCAGCAACGCCGCGUGCGGGAUGACGGCCUUCGGGUUGUAAACCGCUUUCGCCUGUGACGAAGCGUGAGUGACGGUAAUGGGUAAAGAAGCACCGGCUAACUACGUG
rnacentral:rRNA from 1 species